rnacentral:rRNA from 1 species
UACGGAGGGGGCUAGCGUUGUUCGGAAUCACUGGGCUUAAAGGGCGCGUAGGCGGGCGAUCAAGUCAGGGGUGAAAUCCUCCGGCUCAACCGGAGAACUGCCUUUGAUACUGGUCAUCUCGAGUGAGGUAGGGGCAUGCGGAACUGAUGGUGGAGCGGUGAAAUGUGUUGAUAUCAUCAGGAACUCCGGUGGCGAAAGCGGCGUGCUGGACCUUUACUGACGCUGAUGCGCGAAAGCCAGGGGAGCGAACGGG